GCUCAUGAAAUUUGGUGAUGUGACUCGGAUAGGGGGACCUCCCUUGGGAGAUCAGUACCCUGUCCUCCUGCUCUUUGCUCCGUGAGAAAGAUCCACCUACAACCUCAGGUCCUUAGACCAACCAGCCCAAGAAACAUCUCACCAAUUUCAAAUCCAGACCCCACUGGAAAUCGGACUGUCCAACUCACCUGACAGCCACUCCCACAGCCGCUGGAACUCUGGCCCAAGGCUCUCUGACUCCUUCCCAGAUCUUCUUGGCUUAGCGGCUGAAGACUGACGCUGCCCGAUCGCCUCGGAAGCCCCCUAGACCAUCACGGACGCCGAGCUUCGGGUAACUCUCACAGUGGAAGGGAAAACCAAACAUUGUCAAGAGGAGAGGAAGCCUGAGAGUUGGCAUGAAUCAGAGUGCUGGGCAGUCUGGAGUCUUCCCCACUGAGUUGAUGAUGGAACAGUAGAGUGGGGCCUGAGCCCCGUUAGGGCAUGAGCUGCUGAAUGAUUCAUGUGAACACCAUGCACAUGGGAGUGAGGUUUUGAGCAGUGUGCCACAGGAGCCUACCCUCAGGCCCCACCAUAAAAUGUAGGGCCAGUCCUACAUUUUAUCAAUGACUUGCGUGAACACAGAAAAUGUGGAUACAACCAAAAGGUAACAAUCCAAUUAAAAAAUGGACAAAAAACUUGAAUAAACAUUUCUCAAAAGAAGAUAUACAAAUGAUCAAAAAGCAUAUGAAAAAAUGCUCAACAUCGCUAAUUGUAAGAGAAAUGCAAAUCAAAACUAUAAUGAGAUACCACCUUAUAUUGAUUAGGAAGACUGCUAUAAAAAUAGUAAACAAACAAACAAACAAAGUAAGUCUUGGGGAGGAUGCAGAGAAAUUAAAAUUUUUGUGCACUGUUAGUGGGAAUGUAAAAUGGUGCAGCUGUUACGGGAAACGGUAUGA
ensembl:lncRNA LINC-ROR long intergenic non-protein coding RNA, regulator of reprogramming